rnacentral:rRNA from 1 species
AGUGAACGCUGGCGGUAGGCCUAACACGUGCAAGUCGAACGGCAGCACAGUAAGGGCUUGCUCUUACGGGUGGCGAGUGGCGGACGGGUGAGGAAUACAUCGGAAUCUACUUUUUCGUGGGGGAUAACGUAGGGAAACUUACGCUAAUACCGCAUACGACCUACGGGUGAAAGCAGGGGAUCUUCGGACCUUGCGCGAUUGAAUGAGCCGAUGUCGGAUUAGCUAGUUGGCGGGGUAAAGGCCCACCAAGGCGACGAUCCGUAGCUGGUCUGAGAGGAUGAUCAGCCACACUGGAACUGAGACACGGUCCAGACUCCUACGGGAGGCAGCAGUGGGGAAUAUUGGACAAUGGGCGCAAGCCUGAUCCAGCCAUACCGCGUGGGUGAAGAAGGCCUUCGGGUUGUAAAGCCCUUUUGUUGGGAAAGAAAAGCAGCAGGUUAAUACCCCGCUGUUCUGACGGUACCCAAAGAAUAAGCACCGGCUAACUUCGU